rnacentral:rRNA from 1 species
UACGUAGGGGGCAAGCGUUGUCCGGAAUCAUUGGGCGUAAAGAGCGUGUAGGCGGCCAGAUAAGUCCGCUGUGAAAUCUCGAGGCUCAACUUCGAGCUGUCGGUGGAAACUGUCUGGCUAGAGUCCGGAAGAGGAGAAUGGAAUUCCUGGUGUAGCGGUGAAAUGCGGCAGAUAUCAGGAGAACACCCGUGGCGAAGGCGGUUCUCUGGGACGGUACUGACGCUGAGACGCGAAGCGUGGGGAGCGAACAGG